AUGCCGGUGACAGGUUGUCGAUCUACCCGUCCGUCCAGCAGCCUCCCUCUAGCCAGCACCACACAAGGAAGAGGUCCAUCCGGUGCCCAGCCACCCCACCGUUGCAGGGCAAACACCAGCUGCAGCACCACCACCUUAGAAGGGCCGCCGGUCACCCCUACCGCUGCCAACCGCCACUACCAGCCAUAUCUGUGUAGGGGCUGCCAGAUCCGCCGCCAGCUCGCCCCCAGGCCUCCAGAUCCCCACGAGUCGAGGUCGAGGGGGGAGGAGGGGAGGAGGCGGCCCUGGCAGCCCAUCGGGACGCUAAAGAGGAGGGAAGCCGAAGCACAGGCCGGCUGGCGCCCGACGCCACCGAGCAGGGGAGGCCGCCCCCAAUGUGUGCCACCCGCGCGCAGGAGGAAGCCGCCUCGCCGCUGCCUGCGCCACGUGGCCUUUGUCCGGCGACGCCACCGACAGCCGCAAGGGAGGGGGGCAAGGCAAUGGUACGGGGGCGGCGGUGCUAGGGUUGUCUCCCGGGGGCAUCCUCGGGAACGCCUCCGGAGGGGAGGGAAGCAUUCUCGCAUGCUUCAGAUGGACUACUCGUCGUUAUGGCUUGCAGAUGGACGUACCUGCUUCAUCGUAUACAGUGUCGCAUUCCCCAUCAGAGAGUGGAAAAAACUCCUCACAGAUCGAAUCUCUCUCCCAGACCUGUGCGCCUCUCCCAGCACCGGAGGCCAGCCGCCGCCGUCCCUCCCGCGCCCCUGCACCGCGCUCCUCCUGCUCUCUGCCCCAUCUAUCCCUCCGGCAGCCGCGCCUCUCCCUCCGGCGACCGCACCUCUCCCUGCCUCCUCCGUUCGUCCCUGCCCCAGCGUCCUUUGCCCUUACCCUAACCCUAGCUCCUCGAGGAUCGAGGCAGAAAACGGCGGCGCUCUGAUCCAGCCCCUAGAAGAAACGGUGAGUGCCCCUGUCUUGAUUGAUGAUUCUCUUCCCAUCUUUGUUUUCAGGAACAAUAGACUGAACUAUGAGCCGCCGCCGUUGCUCGCCGGCAUCGGCACCACCGCUGGAAGACGAGGACCUUCUCCAGGAGAUCCUCCUGCGCCUCCCUCCCUCCCUCGUGCGUCCGCCGUCUGCAAGCGCUGGCGCAGCAUCCUCUCUGACCCCCAAUUCGUCCAACGCUUCCGCAAACACCAUGGAAAACCCCCACUCAUCGGCUUCUUCAGCCAAAGAUAUGGCGUAUUCUGUGACUUCAAACCCGUCCUGGAACUGCCUGACCGCAUACAUGCCCAUCGUUUCUCCAUGCCCAAGAGCCGCAGCUCAAUGGAGCAGUGGCGCUUCAUGGGCGGCCGCAACGGGCUCGCUGUCCUGAUCAACGAGUGUCGGCGCGAGGCCGUCGUGUGGGAUCCUCUCUCCGGCCGGCAACAUCGCGUGCCUUUCCCACCAGGACUCCACGAUGCCCUAACGGGUAGUUUCUGUGUAUGGCAUGCCUCGGUGUUGUGCGCUGAUGCCGAACAUGGGCACGUGCUUGGCGAUUGCAUCUUGGUCCCGUUCAAAUUGGUCUUGAUCUGCAAUGGAUACAACCAGGCAUUUGGUUCUCUCUAUGACUCGUCGUCUAGUGAUGUCCUUGUGUUUGACAUCCAAAUGCAGAGUCUUGGUGUGAUCGAGAAGCCGGCAGACAACCAUAAAACCAUUCCUUUGAAGGGGUUGCUUCCAAGCACAAAGCCUUUGGUACUUAUCGUGGGGUAUGAUGAGGACACAAAUGUGAUUGUUCUGUCUACGGGGAUUGGCAACUUCAUGCUCCAACUUGACUCAGUGCAGAUCAAACAUAUCAUUAAAAGAAAUGGCAUGUGCAUCGACAUGUUUUAUCCCUACCAUAAUUUCUACACUGCAGUGAAUAGCCUAUUCUAUCAUAUGUCAGGCAUGAUCUCUUCCUGCUAUCCCCACUCGGCCGCCAUUGACAACCUUCCAAGAUCCAGCCCAGGACUCCUUCGUUGCUGCUGCUCGCGUCCCCUCCGGCGACAAGGAUCCCGUCCGUGGUCGCCGGCGGGCUCUUCCCCAAGUCACGGAGCCGCCGGCAGGGUGUUUACCCUGGUCGUCGAGCUCGUCUUCCCCGCAAAGACUACCCUCCGCCGUCAUGGUGUCGUGGUGCCGGGGCUAUACGACGAGCGUCGGGGAGUCGUACUCCUGUCUCUUGAGGGAAGCGGGCAGCACAUCGUGCCGUCGGGGAGGACCACGAGGUCACUAUCAGCAUGGUCGUACACUGGCACAGUCGCCUCUCCAUCGCCGCCGUCCGUGGUCCGCUACCAUCCGUCGUGGCUGCCGCAAAUCAGGGCGCCAGCGUUGGCGCCAGCUCCAGCCUUGGAGGAAGGCGUUCUUCUCCAUGAAGAUCCACGGCACGCCUCACAACACAAGUCAGGACCUGUUUUUGUAAAACACGUUUGCACAAAAACGUCUCGGAGCCAUUUUUCCAAAAACGCAAAAUCUGAGUAUUUCGAGAACCAAGUUUUUCUUAUCCAAGGAUUGGAUUAG
rnacentral:rRNA from 1 species